rnacentral:rRNA from 1 species
UACGAAGGGGGCUAGCGUUGCUUGGAAUUACUGGGCGUAAAGGGCGCGUAGGCGGAUAUCUAAGUUGGGGGUGAAAUCCCGGGGCUCAACCUCGGAAUUGCCUUCAAAACUGGAUAUCUUGGGUUCGGGAGAGGUGAGUGGAACUCCGAGUGUAGAGGUGAAAUUCGUAGAUAUUCGGAAGAACACCAGUGGCGAAGGCGACUCACUGGCCCGAUACUGACGCUGAGGCGCGAAAGCGUGGGGAGCAAACAGG